UACGGAGGGUGCAAGCGUUAUCCGGAAUCACUGGGUUUAAAGGGUACGUAGGCUGUUUAAUAAGUCAGAUGUGAAAUGUCGGAGCUUAACUUCGGAUCUGCAUUUGAAACUGUUAAACUUGAAUUGGGUGGAAGUGCAUGGAAUGCAUCAUGUAGCGGUGAAAUGCAUAGAUAUGAUGUAGAACACCAAUAGCGAAGGCAGUGCACUACGCCUCGAUUGACGCUGAGGUACGAAAGCGUGGGUAGCGAACAGG
rnacentral:rRNA from 1 species